rnacentral:rRNA from 1 species
AUUGAACGCUGGCGGAAUGCUUUACACAUGCAAGUCGAACGGCAGCACGGGGGCAACCCUGGUGGCGAGUGGCGAACGGGUGAGUAAUACAUCGGAACGUGCCCAGUCGUGGGGGAUAACGUAGCGAAAGUUACGCUAAUACCGCAUACGAUCUACGGAUGAAAGCGGGGGACCGUAAGGCCCCGCGCGAUUGGAGCGGCCGAUGUCAGAUUAGGUAGUUGGUGAGGUAAAGGCUCACCAAGCCGACGAUCUGUAGCUGGUCUGAGAGGACGACCAGCCACACUGGGACUGAGACACAGCCCAGACUCCUACGGGAGGCAGCAGUGGGGAAUUUUGGACAAUGGGCGCAAGCCUGAUCCAGCCAUUCCGCGUGCAGGACGAAGGCCUUCGGGUUGUAAACUGCUUUUGUACGGAACGAAAAGGCUCUGGUUAAUACCUGGGGCUCAUGACGGUACCGUAAGGAUAAGCACCGGCUAACUACGUGCCAGCCGCCGCCGUAA